rnacentral:rRNA from 1 species
UGCAGAAUCCCGUGAACCGUCGAGUCUUUGAACGCAAGUUGCGCCCGAAGCCGCUAGGCCGAGGGCACGCCUGCCUGGGCGUCA